rnacentral:rRNA from 1 species
UACGUAGAGGGCGAGCGUUGUCCGGAUUUACUGGGCGUAAAGCGCGUGUAGGCGGCUGCUUAAGUCGGGUGUGAAAGCCCGGGGCUCAACCCCGGGAUGCCGCCCGAGACUGGGCGGCUUGAGGUCGGAAGAGGGGAGUGGAAUUCCAGGUGUAGCGGUGAAAUGCGUAGAGAUCUGGAGGAACACCCGUGGCGAAGGCGGCUCCCUGGUCCGAUUCUGACGCUGAGACGCGAAAGCGCGGGGAGCGAACGGG